rnacentral:tmRNA from 1 species
GGGGGCGACCUGGCUUCGACGUGGGUUGCAAAGCAGCGUUGUGCAUGCCGAGGUUUCAGUCACCUCGUAAAUCCGCUGAAAAUCAAUAAACGCCAACGACGAGCGUUUCGCUCUAGCCG